UAGGGUAAUUUUCGUCAAGUGGGGGCAACCCUGAACGAGCAAUGCCGCGUGAGCGAAGAAGGUCUUCGGAUUGUAAAGCUCUGUUGACCGGGGAAAAAGGAAGGAAAGAGGAAAUGCUUUUCUUUGGAUGGUACCCGGCCAGAAAGUCACGGCUAACUACGUGCC
rnacentral:rRNA from 1 species